rnacentral:misc_RNA from 1 species
AAUAUUUAUGGCAAGUCUAUUUCCAUUCAUCAACCUCAUCGAUUUUCGUUCCGAGUUAUCAAUGAUUCGAAUAGAACAGAGUUAGCUACUGAAGAUGCUGAUAAACUUGUAGAUGGAAUGGAUUUUGGGGAAUUGUGUGAUGAGUUUGAAUGCAUUAGUAGCCCUUCUGUGGAGGCUACUGCUAGGCAGCUAGUUCGAGAUAUUCUCGAACUACGUGAAGGCAAUCGCGCCCUCGGUACCUUUGCUGUCUCUGUCAAGUAUAAGGAUCCAGUGAGAAGUUUUACAGGACGAGACAAGUACAAGAGACCAUUAUGGAUAACUGAUGCUCUGCAGAAUCCUAAACCGAGUGUGCAAGAAAUGGUGAUGUUAUCAACAAGUGUGUUGAAUAUUAAGUGGAGAAUAAAAGGAAAAGCAAAGUCAUUGAUUGGUAGCAUAGGAGGGGAUUUGAUGAUCAAAGUAAAUUCAAGAUUCACUUUGAAUCAAAUAAGUGGACAAGUAGUUGAGCAUGAAGAGGAAUGGGAUUUAUCAGGAUCAUCCAUCAUUGCUCAAGCUUAUUUCUGGGCAUCGCGACGACUAUUCGCUACUGUUGAAGCUGGAAAAGAUGUGGUUGAUAUUGUUAAUGACUUGAGUUCUAAAUCUGCUAAAGAGAAUAAAAACAUGGAUGUUUAUCCUGACCCUUAUGGUGAUCCAGCGAAGUUCUUUCAAAGGGAUGACAGUUUCCAAAGAGAUUUUUACCAAAUUGCAUUGCUGCUGGCUGUUAUAUAUUUUGUCGUACAGUUCUUGAGGACAACUUUAUGAGACUCCUAAUUUUAACACUUGUAUAAUUGUAAUUAUUAAAUCUAUGUUUCUAUACAUACUUUGGGAAUAUAUAUCAACUUUUA